rnacentral:misc_RNA from 1 species
AGGCAUUCCCUUGCAUUCAGCGCAUCGCCACCGAGAGGACGCACACCUCCGCGCACAGGCAGAGCAUAUCCACACGCUUGCUCUUAUUCGGCAUAUAUAUGUAUAUAUUGUGGGCCCGGCUGUUUUGUGUCCGCUGCCAUGUGCGACGCGUACGCCGCUUCACGCACGCACACACACACACAUAUACAUACGCAGACGCAGACACAGGCACAGACACAGGCGCGGGCAGGCUCACACAGGCGGACAGGGAGGGAGAGAGGGACUGCAGGCAAGCAAACAAAGCAAACACACCGUGGCCUCGAAGGCAGGUGAGGAACGUUGCCUGGCCUGGCAUUGCAUGUUUUUUGCUGGCUGUCUUUCCUCUCGCCCCACCCCACUACCACUGCAGGCUCUCCCAUCCUUUUCCAUCUCACUGCUUCCACCCUCUCCCUGCCUUCAUCAAUUUCGGCGCAUCUGUGACCCCUUCCUUCCCCCCUCCCCUCCAUGCACGCGCGCAGGCGUGUGCACUCAAGGUGACAUCUCGGCUUCACUCCGUCCUCCCCUCCCUUCCUCGUUCUUACCGCCCUUCUUCCCUUGUUCGUGACCCUUCAUAACCUUACUCCCCUCAGCGCCCCACCCUUAUCACUCUGACAGGUAGUUGCGGCAGAUGGGGUGCCUGCUUAGCAGCUCCGUCGUGGAUCGGCCCACAUCGCUGACGUCUAUCGUCGGCUCCCGAAAGGCGAAAGGUUACAACGGCCUCCUCGAAGAGUCAGGAAUCACGCCUGAGGGCGGCACCGACAGCAGCAAGGAGUCGAAUCGGCCACCGAAGAGGACGAGAACAACAGCCCAUGAUGACAGACCAGAGAAUGCUGUCGACACGGACAAGCCCGAUAGGCCGAGCCCCAAUGAAGGGGGUUGCAUGCCAGAGUUCAAGAGAGGAAAAACAUGGCGGCUGCACCGCAGUUCUCCCGAGUCUGUGAAAGCGGCUCUGAUCUCGAAUGCGGCUGACGCCGCCAACCCAUUCGCCCCGAUGUCGUCGGUGUACUCAAGCAAUGCAGCGUCUAGUCGGGAAGAUGCGCCACUGAGUCUGCUUCCGCAGCUCGCCACAAGCUCGGCUGCUGACGCUUCGCCGUCUGCAGCGAUGAGGUCCCCGAGGGGAGCCGGAUACCCUUCAAGGCGCUUGAGGUCGUCUUCCAUUGUGUCAGUGUCGGCGGCUCCUCACGACAUGCAGCUCGCGCGGCAGCCGCUAGAUCCGCAGCAUCUGAAGAUGCCCUCGACGGGUUUCGCCGAUAUGCAUGCCACACGCGAGUCUUUGCUCUCCGACAUUUCCGCCACCCUCAGCACCGAGAGCACACCGACCCACAGCCUGCAGGACUGCCAUUCGCCAAACUGUGGCGGCACCAUGAGCGCUUUCCUCCGGAAAGCUGAGGCCCUGGAGGCGAAGUAUCAGCAGGUCUCACUGAGCAUCGAAGAGGAUCUCUUCGUUUACGACGACAUCGUCAUCUCAAAGGUGGAGGCGCGCGCCAAGCAGUGGCGCCUGGCUGGUCGCAAACCUCAGCCUGCCAACAUAGAGCCGAGCAGCGACAGUGGGACGAGCAGGACUUUAAAGAAGUUCUUCUCCUUCAACGACUUCGACGUGUGCGUGGACGAGGUAGACUUCAUGCCCUUGAGCCCGGCCACUGUCGAGGCCGCGGCGACUUUGGCGCGGGAUACGGUUUUGGAGACACCCAAGCAAGGCUUGAAGCACAUAACGGUGACGAACACGACAGCCAAGGCGCCGAACACGGUGGCUCACUUCCUGGCGCAGUCCCGCUCAAGGGAGCCGAGGGUAAACCGGCCAUUGCGCAGCUUUCAGGUCAAUGCACUCCUAGGGCACGCAAGUCGCGUCAAGUGCAUCGCCCUCUCGCCGGCCGAGACGGACUUUGCCAGCUGCAGCAACGAGGACGCCUCCAUCACAUUGAACAACUUCGGCGUCGGCAGCGAGGUGGGCAUCUUCACGGGCCAUCAUGACACCAUCAUCAGCGCGACCUUCUCACCGGAUGGCAAGUACCUCGCCACGGCCAGCAAGGAUGAGACGAUGAUCUUGUGGGAUGUGACGACGACGAAGAUCCUCCUAACCUUCGCGCAUCCCAAGGUGGUGAUCUGCUGCUGCUUUGGCCCGGAUAGCAAGCACCUCGUGAGCGGCUGCCAAGAUCGCGUGUGCCGUCUCUGGGACACGAAGCGGGGACGAGAGUGGAUGAACUACACGGAGCACGAGGGCAUCAUUAUUGCCAUCGCGUUUAGCCCAGACGGCAACUAUGUGUGUAGCGCCUCAGCGGACAGGUCGCUGCGGGUUUGGUCGGCCACGACGGCCAAGACGCGGUUCCAUCUGCUUGGGCACGUCGGCAUAAUCCUGUCGUGUAGCUACACCUCCGAUGGGCGGCACAUUAUUAGCAAUGAUGAGUCGCUCUUGCGGGUGUGGUCUGCCGAGGACGGCAGCUGCAAGCUAUCUCUCUCGCCGGUCGAAGUCGCUGGCACGUUGCAGCCGAGCCACCGCGCGCCGAAGCUAGGGUGGACGUUGUCCAGCGCCGCCCCUGGCUCCUUUACGCGAUUUGUGCUGGUCGCCUGUAACAACCGCUUCGUGUACGUCAUCGACAUCGAUACCGGACGGGAGGUUGCGAGCACUUUCUGCAAAGCCCCCGUGUAUUGUCUUACCGCCGGCAGCCACGAGAAGAUGGCCUUCGGCGACAGCUUCGGUAACAUCUACAUACUUCACUUGAUGUAAACUUGAACACCAAAUCGAAAUUUAAGGCAGAGAGGGCAGAAGACUCGGCAGUGCGCUGCGCGGUCGUUUUGGGUGCUUUUCUCGCGGAGGUUGUGCAUGCGUGCGUGUGCAAUCAUGAGGGUGCGGAGGGGUGGUAGUGUGGUGUGGUAUGUGGUGAGCGGGCACGCGUUUUUCUUUUUGCAAAAAAAAAACAUAUUGCCUCUUGCGCACGUAAUCGAUUGGUUUAUUGUGAUGUAUACUACUCCUCCUACUGCGUUGAGACGCUACUGCAGUCUCGCCGUCGUCUGACUUGCUCUUGCGCGCCAUUAUGGGUGUAGGCUUCUUGUGUUUGCUGGGCCUUGCUGCUCAUCUUUCUCGGUAUCAUCGGUGCUCUGCUAUUUCGUCUUCCUCCUCGGAGAAGGCGCAAGAGGAUAUAUAUAUUUGUGUGGGAAUGCGUGAUUUCUUAGCUGCACCCGCAACGGACAUCUUUCGCAGGUGCAUUCAUGCGAUUGUGUGCGGAAGCCACCGAAGGAUGUCUCUCUCUCCCUCCCUCUCUCCGCUACGAUUCUAGCGUUGCCGUUGUUGUUUGGCUUCAUGUAUGUAUGUGAACGAGGGGGAGCGGCAGGUAUGCGUGUGCGUGCAUGUGUGUCUGUGUGCGACGCUGUGUCUAUCGGUUAUGUGUGCACCCUCUCCCUUACUCUGCGUCUGUGGGUGUCCAGCCCUAUUCUAUGGAGAGGCACCACGGAUCACCGCAAAGAACGGACGUGUCACAGGUCCUGCCGGCUGCCAUUCGGGUUUUCUUUUUCUCUUUGUAUUUGACGUUGUGUCGUGCCUCACUCCACUCCCUGCUGCCGCUGAUAUUCAAAUUUUUUUUUUGCUUUCGCUCCUCCUUGUGUCUGCCCAUGACGUUGUCGUGCGCCCUUUCGUUCCGUAGAUGUCUUCGCUGUGCGUCACCGAUGCCGUAAGCGCACACCUUCGUCUUCACUUUCUAUCGAUUCCCCUCUCUCACCGACGCCUGCCUGCGUGUCGCGCGCGCUCUCCCGUUGUGUGUUUAUGUGGAGGCGCCGCGUGAUCGAAAAGGCACCUCGGCGUUCUCCCUAGCUCCACCACUGCUACUCUGAACGCCACCAACUUCAUUGCCGCAGACACGCAAGCAUCAAUGGAUGCGAGAGCGGUGGAGUGGCAUGGCAGAAGUGGAGAGAGGCGCGCGGUGCGCCGGUGGCGCGCUGGCGGCAAGGGUGGGAAUCGGGCAGACAGGGUGCGAGAGAAUCACGUCACAUGGCAGUCUAUGUACGUGCAUUCCCAUCAUGACCAAUCGCUCUCUAGAACGUAUAACGCACAGCACAUCCCGCACAGGGACGCAUUUCGCUUUUUACUUGAACAGUACGGCCGCGCUCGCUUCUUUUCUAUAUAUCUGUGGCUCUUGUGCGCGUGUCUCUCUUCGCCCCUUCUCGGCCUUUCGACGUCUUCUCCCUUCGUUUCUUUGCCGUCGCCUCUUCGGCGCCGUGUUCUCUUCCCCUCUUGUUUUUGGAACUCUCUUGCACGCCGCGAGGGGAGUGACAGCGUGGAAGGAAGGGGGUCGGGGGUGGCGUUGGCGGUGGUGGUGGUGGGGAGGGCGGCACGAUAGGGCAUGGAUGCGCGGAGGAUGGGAUUGGGCGUGGCCGUGCCCGCCGCUACGGCAUGCAGAGAACGAUAGGGGGCAUUCAUGCAAACACACACACACACUUAUAUAUGUAUGUAGAGAGAUUUAGCUCGUUGGUCGCACUCCGCUUCGUUCUCUCUCGCUCCGCGUCAUGCUCCCUUGCUGUGUCUCCGUCGCGUCUUGCCUCCCGCCUCGCGCCGGUUCACCGCUAGCGGCGCCAUACCCGCUCGGCCGCCCCUGCGUCUCUCCUCCUCCCUGCUUUUACUUCUUCGUUGCGCCUGCUCCCUGCUCCUCCUGCCGCACGGGCCUACGGGCACACCCAUGUGCUUCUGUGCCAGAAAGAGCGAGGGAGUGAGGGAAGUGGGGGUGAUGGGAUUGCGUUCAGCUUUCUUUGUUGUUGCUUUAUCCGGUGCGUGCGUGUGUGUGUGUGUGUGUGUGUUCGCUCUCGUGCAUGUUUAUUCGCUUUACGGCCGCACUUCGUUGCGCAUUCGGAAUAUUGGAUCCACUUCGCGUCUCUCGUGCUGCUUCUGCUGCUUGUGCUCCCGGAUCACAGGAGGAGACGGUGAGGUGAGCGGGGGGAGGGAGGGGGCCACAGCGCCCCAGCGCGCGGCCUCACAGGGCCCAGUGCACCCCCCACUCUCCCUCUCUCCUUGUGGGAGAAAGCCAGGCGGUCCCGCCCCCGCCCUAUCCCCAGCCAAAUGCCGAGCCGCCCCUCUGGUGGCCACAGGGCCAAGCACCGGCGACGCGCGGGGGCCAGAGCGAUGCACGGCGACUGAUGUCGGCGGUCAGGUCGUGGAUGGCGCGGCGCCGGAGCGGCCAGCGACCGCGAGCACGCUUGUGCCGCCGACAUGACAAGCCGAGUGCCGGCGUGGCUCGAAGGCAUCUGUCACCCGGCCCUCGCUGCCCACUGGUGGAGGGAGCCUGCGCCACCGCGAGGGGGGUGCACCGGGGGCGGUGGCCGGCAUGACGGGAGCGGCUGUGAGGCUGCCUGCGGAGUGGGGUGUGGGUGGAGUCCGCUGCCGAGGCCGUGCUCUCAGAUGGCUGAGCCGGCGCACUGCUGCACCGGCGUGCGCCUAGGGCUGCGCCGCGCCACGCGACGGGUGGCCUGUGGCAGCGCCGGGGAGGCUCGAGGGCGGAGGUGGACCUCGAGGUGUUUGGCAGAGAAGUGGAGUCGUCGAAGGCGAAAUGCGCCUGUGCUGUGGUGGUUCCCUUCCCGACCGUUUGUGCGACUCUUGCCUCUGUCGCCCCUUUUGGUGGUCCGGCUUUUACAGCAGGGGCUCGCGUCUGUUCUCUGUUUUCUCCUCGUCGUUUCUGCCUGUCACGCAUUGGUGGAGCCUUGUGUGUGUGUGUGUGCUCGUGAGUAGUACGACGCACGCAGCGUGCAUGCAUGUAUUUCUGUCAGUGCGUGCACACAUGUAUAACUGUUGUAUUCUGUUACUUCCUCAGGCGUCAGAUCUUUGAUUUUCGUUUGCCUCUUGGGCGUUCCCCUCUGUGUGCAGUGUCUGGCGGGGCGCGCGGUGAGCGUUGCGCGAACGCGUGCGUGCGCGGCUGUGUGACUCUCGGAAACGGCAAGAGAUGGAUUUGACAGCUUGAUGGCCAUGGGGCUGAAGGUAACACCGCGCGUGCCGUAUUGUUUGUGCGCGUGCAUACGUGGACAAUGUGUGUGUGCGUGCGUGUUCGUGAAGGACAGCAACCAAAAGAAAGGAAGGAAGAGCGGGCGCGGAAGUGGGAGGGGGAAAGAGAGAAUGGAGGAGGAAGAUACGGUUCGUGGAGAGCGGGCACGCACACGCACAUGAGUACGUACGCCAGGCCCUUGCGCGCCGUGCCACACUUUUGCUUGCUUUUAUGCCUUACAGGUAUGCGCGGUUGCCGCUCUCCCUCUGCGUGUGUGUGUGUGUGUGUGUGCAUCCGCCUGCUUUGCGUUCUUCCGAUGCCUCGCUCAUCGGGAGCAGCUUCUGCUGCUGCGUGAAACCGCGACUGAUCAGAGCCGUGGCAACCACCGCGGUGGUCAUUGACGCGCCGACGGCGUUUCGUCUUCGUUGCUGUCCUCUCUCUCUUCACCGUCAACCCUCUCUUUGCGUACCCUUU